GAUGAACGCUGGCGGCGUGCCUAAUACAUGCAAGUCGAGCGAACAGACGAGGAGCUUGCUCCUCUGACGUUAGCGGCGGACGGGUGAGUAACACGUGGAUAACCUACCUAUAAGACUGGGAUAACUUCGGGAAACCGGAGCUAAUACCGGAUAAUAUAUUGAACCGCAUGGUUCAAUAGUGAAAGACGGUUUUGCUGUCACUUAUAGAUGGAUCCGCGCCGCAUUAGCUAGUUGGUAAGGUAACGGCUUACCAAGGCUACGAUGCGUAGCCGACCUGAGAGGGUGAUCGGCCACACUGGAACUGAGACACGGUCCAGACUCCUACGGGAGGCAGCAGUAGGGAAUCUUCCGCAAUGGGCGAAGGCCUGACGGAGCAACGCCGCGUGAGUGAUGAAGGUCUUCGGAUCGUAAAACUCUGUUAUUAGGGAAGAACAAAUGUGUAAGUAACUAUGCACGUCUUGACGGUACCUAAUCAGAAAGCCACGGCUAACUACGUG
rnacentral:rRNA from 1 species